AUACGCGCAUAAUAGCUACCGGGCGAGGACCGGCUAAUUAUCGGAAUGCCCCACAGCCGUACGUACCUGCGGCCGGACUCUUGCGUUUAAUUCACGCAUUCAGAUAUUCUAAAAAUAUACAGUUUUUGCUGUUACAGAUGGCGCCCCGUCCGGACUUAGCUGGAAUAGCCUCUUAGGUUACAAGCGAAGAGGAUAGAGGACGAAAGGACUAAAUAGAUAGAUACGGCAACAAUUAGGCUUCAUAUUAAGGAUUAGUAUUAGUUGCUACAAAUGGACACCAAUAUUCAUUUCCUAGACAAAUAUAAAUGCUUGUAAGUUCAGUAGUUCAUGUCUCGUAAAUUCAUACUCGAAGAGAAGGUACAUAAGGAAAACUUCCGUCGUACAAGUACGUUGACCUAUCCUAUUUUUUGUGAUACAUUGCAUGCUGUACAAAAUAAAUCCAAAUAGUACUAUAUUGUUACGCGCUGGGAUUCGGGAUAGAUACAAAAAUCUACCGAAGUACAA